CCUACGGGGGGCAGCAGUGGGGAAUAUUGCGCAAUGGGCGAAAGCCUGACGCAGCGACGCCGCGUGAGGGAUGAAGGUCUUCGGAUCGUAAACCUCUGUCAGCAGGGAAGAACGGUCACUGUGCUAAUCAGCAGUGAAUUGACGGUACCUGCAAAGGAAGCACCGGCUAACUCCGUGCCAGCAGCCGCGGUAAUACGGAGGGUGCGAGCGUUAAUCGGAAUUAAUGGGCGGAAAGCGCUCGUAGGCGGUAUGUCAAGUCAAGGGUGAAAUCCCCGCGCGCAACGUGGGAACUGCCUUUGAAACUGGCAACAUGGAGUGUGUGAGAGGAUAGUGGAAUUCCAGGUGUAGGAGUGAAAUCCGUAGAUAUCUGGAGGAACGUCAGUGGCGAAGGCGACUAUCUGGCACAUAACUGACGCUGAGGAGCGAAAGCGUGGGUAGCAAACAGGAUUAGAUACCCGAGUAGUC
rnacentral:rRNA from 1 species